GACGAACGCUGGCGGCGUGCUUAACACAUGCAAGUCGAACGGAAAGGCCCCUUUGGGGGUACUCGAGUGGCGAACGGGUGAGUAACACGUGAGUAACCUGCCCUUGACUUCGGGAUAACUUCAGGAAACUGGGGCUAAUACCGGAUAGGAAUCCUUGCUGCAUGGUGGGGGUUGGAAAGCUUCGGCGGUUUUGGAUGGACUCGCGGCUUAUCAGCUUGUUGGUGGGGUAGUGGCUUACCAAGGCUUUGACGGGUAGCCGGCCUGAGAGGGCGACCGGCCACAUUGGGACUGAGAUACGGCCCAGACUCCGACGGGAGGCAGCGGUGGGGAAUAUUGCACAAUGGGCGGAAGCCUGAUGCAGCAACGCCGCGUGCGGGAUGACGGCCUUCGGGUUGUAAACCGCGUUCAGCAGGGGCGAAGCUUGUGGUGACGGUACCUGCAGAAGAAGCACCGGCUAACUACGUG
rnacentral:rRNA from 1 species